AGGGAUGGAUUGGUGCCUUCGGGAACGUCUGACACAGGUGCUGCAUGGCUGUCGUCAGCUCGUGUCUGAGAUGUUGGUUAAGUCCGUACGAGCGCAACCCUUGUCCUUAGUUACCAGCACGUUAUGGUGGGCACUCUAAGGAGACUGCCGGUGACAAACCGGAGGAAGGUGGGGAUGACGUCAAGUCAUCAUGGCCCUUACGGCCUGGGCUACACACGUGCUACAAUGGUCGGUACAAAGGGUUGCCAAGCCGCGAGGUGGAGCUAAUCCCAUAAAACCGAUCGUAGUCCGGAUCGCAGUCUGCAACUCGACUGCGUGAAGUCGGAAUCGCUAGUAAUCGUGAAUCAGAAUGUCACGGUGAAUACGUUCCCGGGCCUU
rnacentral:rRNA from 1 species